UACGAAGGGUGCUAGCGUUGCUCGGAAUCACUGGGCGUAAAGCGCACGUAGGCGGCUUUUUAAGUCAGGGGUGAAAUCCUGGAGCUCAACUCCAGAACUGCCUUUGAUACUGAGAAGCUUGAGUCCGGGAGAGGUGAGUGGAACUGCGAGUGUAGAGGUGAAAUUCGUAGAUAUUCGCAAGAACACCAGUGGCGAAGGCGGCUCACUGGCCCGGUACUGACGCUGAGGUGCGAAAGCGUGGGGAGCAAACAGG
rnacentral:rRNA from 1 species